UGGGGAAUUUUGGACAAUGGGCGAAAGCCUGAUCCAGCAAUGCCGCGUGUGUGAAGAAGGCCUUCGGGUUGUAAAGCACUUUUGUCCGGAAAGAAAUCCUUGGCUCUAAUACAGUCGGGGGAUGACGGUACCGGAAGAAUAAGCACCGGCUAACUACGUGCCAGCAGCCGCGGUAAUACGUAGGGUGCAAGCGUUAAUCGGAAUUACUGGGCGUAAAGCGUGCGCAGGCGGUUUGCUAAGACCGAUGUGAAAUCCCCGGGCUCAACCUGGGAACUGCAUUGGUGACUGGCAGGCUAGAGUAUGGCAGAGGGGGGUAGAAUUCCACGUNUAGCAGUGAAAUGCGUAGAGAUGUGGAGGAAUACCGAUGGCGAAGGCAGCCCCCUGGGCAAUACUGACGCUCAUGCACGAAAGCGUGGGGAGCAAACAGGAUUAGAUACCCUGGUAGUCCACGCCCUAAACGAUGUCAACUAGUUGUUGGGGAUUCAUUUCCUUAGUAACGUAGCUAACGCGUGAAGUUGACCGCCUGGGGAGUACGGUCGCAAGAUUAAAACUCAAGGAAUUGACGGGGUCAUAGCUGUUUCCU
rnacentral:rRNA from 1 species